UAAUUUCUAUUAUUGACCACAGGAAUGACUU
rnacentral:piRNA from 1 species